UAGGGAAUCUUCCGCAAUGGACGAAAGUCUGACGGAGCAACGCCGCGUGUGUGAUGAAGGAUUUCGGUUCGUAAAGCACUGUUGUUAAGGAAGAAUAGUAGUAAGAGUAACUGUUUACUACGUGACGGUACUUAACCAGAAAGCCACGGCUAACUACGUGCCAGCAGCCGCGGUAAUACGUAGGUGGCAAGCGUUAUCCGGAAUUAUUGGGCGUAAAGCGCGCGUAGGCGGCAAGAUUAGUCUGAUGUGAAAUCCCCCGGCUCAACCGGGGAGGGUCAUUGGAAACUGUCUUGCUUGAGUGCAGAAGAGGAGAGUGGAAUUCCAUGUGUAGCGGUGAAAUGCGCAGAGAUAUGGAGGAACACCAGUGGCGAAGGCGGCUCUCUGGUCUGCAACUGACGCUGAUGUGCGAAAGCGUGGGGAUCAAACA
rnacentral:rRNA from 1 species